GAUAACAUCCAAAGUCCCGCCAGCCUCACUGAGAGCCUGGGAAGAUCAAAACACACUGAAUCACAGUCUACCCCGUUCGAGCUGGUAGUUAGCGUGUGUUUGCGACGAUCAGGCGCCACGCUAAGCGGCUUAAGUGCGCUAUCUCGUCUGACCAUCAUAAGGGCAUUAGAGGGUGCUUUACCGUGAACAGACCUCUAUUUAGGAAAACUUGGCAUCUAAAAGCCCAUAGUGACAAAAUCGAUAUACUAAGGGUUACAACUAAGACUCAAAGGGCUGGAUUUGUGCCUAGUAAGUGAAAAACGGCACGAGAUGUGAGUCAGUCGACAUCCCUCUCGUGCUGAAUGCUACCUUCUGAGUCCCAGUCUGGCUCUCCUGGUCCAGAGAUCUGUUUCACAGGAACCUGAAAACCUGCCAAAUCCAUCACCGGUGAUGAGCAGCAACCAGUCAAUCACGGUUCGCGGAGGACUGAUAGGAUUUUAACACCGAAAGGCCCAAGUCCCCGGAAACCCUUCAGUGCUAAGCACACCAGCUCCACGAGGGGGCAUCCCAGGAGUCCACAUUUUAUGCUGAGCGGCUGUGUCCACUAAAGCUCCAAAUGAUUGGACCCGAAUGGACACCUGACCCAAAAGCAGCCAACCCAUUGGCUGGACAGCAACCAAUGACCUAUGUGACUUAUUUAUUUAUUUUUAAUUUAUUUUUGAGAGAGAGACACCCCCUCCCCUGGCAGAAGUCGGGGAGGACGGGGGGGGGGGGGGGCGGGGAGGGGGCAGAGGAUCUGAAACAGGUUCUGUGGGACAGCCCCAGAGCCCAAUGUGGGGCUUGAACUCACUAACCCACUAGCUAUGAGACAAUGACCUCAGCCAAAGGCAGACCCUUAACCAACUGAGCCACCCAGGUGUUCUUAUGUGAUUUAUUUUUUAAAAAAAGAAUAAAGAGAAACAGUGGGGCCAGUCAGA